GUACUAGUUGUCUGCUAUCUGAAAUGCUCUUCACAUUAGCAGAUAACUAGAACUAAUUAUGCUGAGCGACAUGCAAGGGAUAAUUAACCAGUACCUGACUAUUGUGCAUUGUCAUUUUUGAAUCUGAGCCCUGGCAGGUAAUUUAAAUAGGCAAAUCUUCAGUACACGCGGUUUUCCAACCCAACUAGAAAAUCCACAGAUUGUCUCGAGUGAAUCGGUAAUAAUAAGAAUCCGCCAUUAAAAAGAACCAUUUGGAAAUAGCACGAUUGAAGUGCUAUCACACAAAUUGUCUGCAUGCAUGCACCUAUUCGAGGGUCCUGCAAGAAGAAGAGUAAAACAUCACGAUAAUGAUUUGAGUUGAAUUCCUAUUCCUAUCUUUUGUAAU
rnacentral:sRNA from 1 species